rnacentral:rRNA from 1 species
CCUACGGGAGGCAGCAGUGGGGAAUUUUCCGCGAUGGGCGAAAGCCUGACGGAGCAAUACCGCGUGAGGGAUGACGGCCUAUGGGUUGUAAACCUCUUUUUUCAGGGAGGAAUAAAUGACGUGUACCUGAGGAAUAAGCAUCGGCUAACUCCGUGCCAGCAGCCGCGGUAAGACGGAGGAUGCAAGUGUUAUCCGGAAUCACUGGGCGUAAAGCGUCUGUAGGUGGUCAAAUAAGUCAACUGUUAAAUCUUGAGGCUCAACCUCAAAAUCGCAGUCGAAACUAUUAGACUAGAGUAUAGUAGGGGUAAAGGGAAUUUCCAGUGGAGCGGUGAAAUGCGUAGAGAUUGGAAAGAACACCGAUGGCGAAGGCACUUUACUGGGCUAUUACUAACACUGAGAGACGAAAGCUAGGGUAGCAAAUGGGAUUAGAUACCCCAGUAGUCCUAGCCGUAAACAAUGGAUACUAGAUGUUGAACAGAUCGACCUGUGCAGUAUCAAAGCUAACGCGUUAAGUAUCCCGCCUGGGAAGUAUGCUCGCAAGAGUGAAACUCAAAGGAAUUGACGGA